rnacentral:rRNA from 1 species
GGGGAAUAUUGCACAAUGGGCGAAAGCCUGAUGCAGCAACGCCGCGUGAGGGAUGACGGCCUUCGGGUUGUAAACCUCUUUCAGUAGGGAAGAAGCGAAAGUGACGGUACCUACAGAAGAAGCACCGGCUAACUACGUGCCAGCAGCCGCGGUAAUACGUAGGGUGCGAGCGUUGUCCGGAAUUAUUGGGCGUAAAGAGCUUGUAGGCGGUUUGUCGCGUCUGCCGUGAAAAUCCGAGGCUCAACCUCGGACUUGCGGUGGGUACGGGCAGACUAGAGUGUGGUAGGGGAGACUGGAAUUCCUGGUGUAGCGGUGAAAUGCGCAGAUAUCAGGAGGAACACCGAUGGCGAAGGCAGGUCUCUGGGCCACUACUGACGCUGAGAAGCGAAAGCGUGGGGAGCGAAC